GGGCAGUGCGCAGCUACACAUGCAGUCGGGCGGUAACAGGGAGAAGCUUGCUUCUCUGCUGACGAGCGGCGGACGGGUGAGUAAUGUAUGGGGAUCUGCCUGAUGGCGGGGGAUAACUACUGGAAACGGUAGCUAAUACCGCAUAAUGUCUUCGGACCAAAGCGGGGGACCUCCGGGCCUCGCGCCAUCAGAUGAACCCAUAUGGGAUUAGCUAGUAGGUGAGGUAACGGCUUACCUAGGCGACGAUCCCUAGCUGGUCUGAGAGGAUGAUCAGCCACACUGGGACUGAGACACGGCCCAGACUCCUACGGGAGGCAGCAGUGGGGAAUAUUGCACAAUGGGCGCAAGCCUGAUGCAGCCAUGCCGCGUGUAUGAAGAAGGCCUUCGGGUUGUAAAGUACUUUCAGUCGGGAGGAAGGUGUCAAGGUUAAUAACCUUGGCAAUUGACGUUACCGACAGAAGAAGCACCGGCUAACUCUGUGCAGCAGCCGCCA
rnacentral:rRNA from 1 species